GCCGGUGGUCGAGCGGAAAGACGCCGCCCUCGCACGGCGGAGAUCUCGGGUUCAAAUCCCGACCGGU
rnacentral:tRNA from 1 species